rnacentral:tRNA from 1 species
GGAGGAUUGGCUCAGUGGUUAGAGCUGAGGUCUCGUAACCGAAAGGUCACGGGAUCGAAUCCCGUAGAGGCUG